rnacentral:lncRNA from 1 species
UCAACGAAUAUUUACAUCGAAUAAUAAUCAUCAGUGGUAAUUUUUACCGUGUAUCCUAUUAUCACGUUCAUAUUUUAUUUGGUUUAAGAUUGCUAUUACAGAGAUAAGACAAAGUGUACUAGUUAAAGAGCAUUUGAACAGUUGUUUCUUGCUCAGCAUGGUCUGAUUUAGUCUUGAUGGAUUGUCGUAGCUGUGCUUGAAAGCGAUACAUUUUGAUAACUAAGAACCAUAUUUCAUGUGGUGUGGGAUAAUACAAAUAUGCAUAAAUAUAGGAAUCUGAUGUUCAGUAGUUGUUGAUGUGGUUUAUAGGUAUUUUUCGUUUGUCUUUUUUUUUAAAAGAUUAAACCGUUGGUUUUUCUGUUUGAAUGCAUUUAUACUUGUAAUUUUUG